UUCGUAGGGUGCAAGCGUUGUCCGGAUUUAUUGGGCGUAAAGAGCUCGUAGGCGGUUUGUCGCGUCUGCCGUGAAAGUCCGGGGCUCAACUCCGGAUCUGCGGUGGGUACGGGCAGACUAGAGUGAUGUAGGGGAGACUGGAAUUCCUGGUGUAGCGGUGAAAUUCGCAGAUAUCAGGAGGAACACCGAUGGCGAAGGCAGGUCUCUGGGCAUUAACUGACGCUGAGGAGCGAAAGCAUGGGGAGCGAACAGG
rnacentral:rRNA from 1 species